rnacentral:rRNA from 1 species
AUUGAACGCUGGCGGCAUGCCUUACACAUGCAAGUCGAACGGCAGCGGACCUUCGGGUGCCGGCGAGUGGCGAACGGGUGAGUAAUAUAUCGGAACGUACCUUUCAGUGGGGGAUAAACGUAGCGAAAGUUACGCUAAUACCGCAUAUUCUGUGAGCAGGAAAGCAGGGGAUCGCAAGACCUUGCGCUGAUUGAGCGGCCGAUAUCAGAUUAGCUAGUUGGUGAGGUAAAGGCUCACCAAGGCGACGAUCUGUAGCGGGUCUGAGAGGAUGAUCCGCCACACUGGAACUGAGACACGGUCCAGACUCCUACGGGAGGCAGCAGUGGGGAAUUUUGGACAAUGGGCGCAAGCCUGAUCCAGCCAUGCCGCGUGAGUGAAGAA